rnacentral:rRNA from 1 species
AUGGACGUGCGCACCUUAGGCGGCGGCGGCGACCAGCUGUGGCGCAGGUUCCUGGACCCGCUCCAAUGUCGAGCGGUCUCGGCACCGUCUCCGGCGCUCGUAGACAGCAAGAUCUACUUAACAUGUGGCGAGGGGAUAUUGACGAUGGACGUGGCAACCGAGGCGCAUUGCACCUACCCCCUCCCCAUGUACGAGGGGGAGAAGCUCGCCUUCGAGCUGCGCGGCCGGCUGUGCGUCGCGGUGCACGUCAUCGCCCAGCGCAUGCUCUACCUUUUGGGUAUUGCAUCUCGACCAAGACAAGAAGGAUGGCACGGCGCCCUUGCUUGA